UCCAGUUGAUCCUGCUGGAGGCCACAGCUUUUGGAGUUCGUAUAAACAUGCAAGUCAAGGAAUGACCGCUCAUUCCUGGCGAACGGCUCAGUAACACGUAGGUAACCUAACCUAAGGAGGGGAAUAACUUCGGGAAACUGAAGAUAAUACCACAUAGUUGAUAAUUGCUGGAAUGCAUCUUCAACCAAAAGUGCAUAAUGCUAUGGAAUUAUGCACGCCUUAGGAUGGGCCUGCGGCUGAUUAGGUAGUUGGCGGUGUAAAGGACCCCCAAGCCUACGAUCAGUAGGGGCAUUGAGAGAUGGAGCCCCGAGAAGGACACUGAGACAAGGGUCCUAGCCCUAAGGGGUGCAGCAGUUACGAAUUCUCCACAAUGCGCGCAAGCGUGAUGGGGGGACUCCAAGUGCACUAACACAUGUUAGUGCUGUGGCGAAGUGUAAGGAGCUUCGCAAGAAAGGGGUGGGCAAGACCGGUGCCAGCAGCCGCGGUAACCCCGGCGCCUCAAGUAGUGGCCAUUCUUAUUGGGCUUAAAGCGUCCGUAGCUGGGUAGGAAAAUCCUUGGUGAAAUCGUUGCGCUCAACGUAACGGCGUGCCAGGGACACUACCUACCUUGAGACCGGGAGGGGACACAGGUAUUCCUGGGGGAGCGGUUAAAUGCAUUAAUCCCAGGAGGACCACCGGUGGCGAAGGCGUGUGUCUAGAACGGGUCUGACGGUCAUGGACGAAGGCCAGGGUAGCGAAACGGAUUAGAUACCCGUGUAGUCCUGGCAGUAAACGCUGUCCGUUAGGUCUUGUGCUCCUCUCGAGGGAGUGCAGGGCCGAAGCGAAAGCAUUAAACGGACCGCCUGGGGAGUACGAUCGCAAGGUUGAAACUUAAAGGAAUUGGCGGGGGAACACAACAAGGGGGGUAGCGUGUGGUUCAAUUGGAUUCAACGCCGCACACCUCACCAGGAGCGACAGCAGGAUGAAGGUCAGAUUAAAGGUCUUACCUAACAGGCUAAGAGGUGGUGCAUGGCCGUCGUCAGCUCGUGCUGUGAAGUGUCCUGUUAAGUCAGGUAACGAGCGAGACCCAUACCAUUAUUUGCUAACCACUCCCCACGGGGAAGGGUGCACAAUAAUGGAACUGCCCUCAAAAGGGGGAGGAAGGUGUGGGCAACGAUAGGUCAGUAUGCCCCUAAUCUCCUGGGCUACACGCGCGCUACAAUGGCGGGCACAACGGGAUGCUACUCCGAAAGGAGACGCAAAUCCCUCAAAUCCCGUCUCAGUUUGGACUGAGGGUUGCAACCCACCCUCAUGAAACCGGACUCCCUAGUAAUCGCGUCUCAUUAUGUCGCGAUGAAUACGUCCCUGUUCCUUGCACACACCGCCCAUCAAACCACCCGAGUUAGGUUCGGGUGAGGCAUUACCUUAAGGGUAGUUUCGAACCUGGGCUUGAUGAGGAGGGUUAAGUUGUCACAAGGUA
rnacentral:rRNA from 1 species